rnacentral:hammerhead_ribozyme from 1 species
AUUCAUUCGACAAGUUCCAAACAGGACGAAACGCCCGUCCUGGAU